rnacentral:rRNA from 1 species
UGGCGGAGGCCAUUGCUAUCAGGGUUUGACUAAGCCAUGCGAGUCGAGAGGUGUAAGACCUCGGCAUACUGCUCAGUAACACGUGGUUAACCUGCCCUAAGGUGGAGAAUACUCCCGGGAAACUGGGGCUAAUGCUCCAUAGUGGAUAUGUCCUGGAAUGGUAUAUCCUCGAAAGAUCCGUCGCCUUAGGAUGGGACUGCGUCCGAUUAGGUUGUUGGCGGGGUAACGGCCCACCAAGCCAUUGAUCGGUACGGGUUGUGGGAGCAAGAUCCCGGAGAUGGAUUCUGAGACAUGAAUCCAGGCCCUACGGGGCGCAGCAGGCGCGCAAACUUUACAAUGCGAGCAAUCGUGAUAAGGACACCCUGAGUGCCUGUCGAUGCAGGCUGUUCAUAUAUCUAAAUCAUAUGUGAAGAAAGGGCAGGGCAAGACCGGUGCCAGCCGCCGCGGUAAUACCGGCUGCUCGAGUGAUGGCCACUAUUACUGGGUUUAAAGCGUCCGUAGCUUGACUGUUAGGUCUCUUGGGAAAUCUUCACGCUCAACGUGAAGGCGUCUAAGAGAUACCGGCAGUCUUGGAACUGGGAGAGGUAAACCGUACUUCGGGGGUAGGAGUGAAAUCUUGUAAUCCUCGAGGGACGACCUAUGGCGAAGGCAGUUUACCAGAACAGCUUCGACAGUGAGGGACGAAAGCUGGGGGAGCAAACGGGAUUAGAUACCCCGGUAGUCCCAGCCGUAAACAAUGUGCGUUAGGUGUGUCGGUAACCACGUGUUACUGGUGCGCCGAAGAGAAAUCGUGAAACGCACCACCUGGGAAGUACGGUCGCAAGGCUGAAACUUAA